rnacentral:misc_RNA from 1 species
ACACACGUUAAAAAAAAUAUUAUAAAUACUUUUAUCAUGACUUAGGGGCUAACGCUAUAUUUUUCAAUAUUUACAAUAUUAUCAAUGUUCAUUUUAAAAAGUGACAAUAAUAUAAAAAAAUAUCUUCCUUCAUACGCAAGUGGGAUAGUGCAUCAAGAACUCAAUGGAGGAAGUUUAUAACAUGACAGAAACUGAAGUCGAAGGAAGUACCUGGUGUUACUGGGUUCUCUCUGUUGGAACGCUAUUUACAUUUCUUGGGCUUGUUGUAGCUUGCAUUUGCAGUUGUCGAAGAAAUCAAACUAAGAACGAUUUACCUGGGUUAUGUGGGAUGGUAACGAUUAAUCAUUCCGAUAAUGAUAAUUUCAAUACGUUACCAUCUAUAGAAGUUAGUCAAGUCCCACCAUUACAGGAAACGAUAGAUAAUGGCAAAAGAAUAAGCGGAGCUAAUAGAAGCUUACCAGAUAUACCAAAAGAUAAAAAUAGAGGAGAAGUUAAUACAGAAUCUAUACCUCAAGAUAUUUAUGAAACUAGCGAAAUAAAUUCUGAACUGUAUGCUACAGUACAGGAUACAGAAGAGCAACAGUCUGAACGAGAAACACAAGGUCUUUCUCAACAAGUUUCAAUAGUUCAAGAUAACUCAACAUUUCAACUUUCAAGAUUCACACCAUCUACAUCCAAAAAUGAUGAACAUCCAUAUGCUCAACUUCAAAGUAUACCAAAAUCUGAAAUUGAUCAAUCGCAUAGGAAAAACAGUACUCAAGCGAUUAUUGUUGAUAAACCAUCAACAUCAUCAAAUCAUGCAAAUGGAAAUCCAGUGGCACCUCCUAGAACUCGAAAAUCGUCGUCUUUUAAUUCACUCCUGAGCGCUGAGAAUCCUAAUGAUAUACAAGCUGCAAAUGCUAUUUCUGGAGGUGUGCAAGCUAAUCAAGAUUUACCUUAUAUGACACCACCUCUUGCUAUGUUACAUCUUCAUCCACCACAACCACCACAACCUAGUACAUCACAACAUUUUAGCGGUGAUUCUCAGGAUUCUAAAGGAUAUACUAGUAUAAGUGUGCGAGAACCCUUAGCUAAUAUAUUAGCACAAACGAAAGCAUCUUAUCAACAACAUCAACCAACACGUUUGCCCAUUGAUCCUCAUUAUGCAACUGUAUCUGAUGAUUCAGAUGAAAUGUAUGCUGCUAUUGACGAACAAGAAAAAAUUUACACUAGUGGCAGUGAAACAUAUGCUCAAAUUCAGCCAACAAUAUUGGAAACAAGUAGAAUUAUACAUAGUGAUCUAAAUCCAUUUAUUCAACCAUCAUCAUCACGUACAGAGGAGACACAUACUGCUCCACAACCACCAAGCGUUGAUAGUUUACGUCAUGUUGCUCAUGCUCAUUCGAGACAGGCAUCAUCAUCAAGUGCCAAUAGUUCUAUCAUAAACCCAGGUUCUCCAAAGCCAGAGAAACGUCAAGCAAAUUCACCAUUACCUCCUCCACCAGAAGCAAUUUCAGAUGCAUAUGCUGCUGUUGAUAAAAGAGCGAAAAAUGAUGAACGCAUAAGACCUAAUUUAGCAACUGGAAAAUCUCUAGAGGAUAUGUAUGCUAAAGUCAUGAAAAAGAAAAGAGAUGCAGAAGAGCAAAGUGACGUUCCUGGAUCUUCUAAUAUUUUACAUUCAGAAAUAAUACCUUCAAAUAGAAAACUUAGUCUCAUAGAAAUUAGCAGAGCUUCGUGGUCUAGUCAUGAUUCAGUAGAAAUACAGAAAGAAGAACACGACACUGUUCAUUACACAAUACCAGCCAAUACUGUUAAUAUUCAUUCUGAAAUGGAAAGUAAUUGUUUAAAGUUAUCUCGAAUUCCUGAUGGAGAUACAAAUGUAUUAAAUCAAGAAAUUAAUUAUGGUUAUGAAUCUGUGAAUAUGAAAAGGAAUUUAGCUGCACGAAGUUUUCCUGUUUGUGAUUCUAAUUAUGAAAUACCACAUCUUCAAUCUUUAAGAAAUAGCGAUUAUCAAAGUACAUCAACAUCAGUUCGCGAUGGUCCUGAUAUAUUAUUGACAUAUCCUACAUCUUUUAAGCACAGACAAAUUAGUAAUGCAAGUAGUGAAGAUCCAGGGUACGAAAAAGUUAGAUUACGAAGAAGAGUUGAUUUAGAUCAGGAUACAGAUUCCGAGCCAAACUAUGAGAGUAUGCCUCAUGAUUCAGGAGAACCAAAUUAUGCAUCAGUAUGUCGUCCUGGUGAUAGUGAUACAGAUCCGAAUUAUGAAUCUGUAAGUCAUGGGGAUCCAAAUUAUGAAAGUGUAAGAUACAUGAGUGUUGCUGCCUCAGAAGAACCACCAUACGAACAAACUACGAAAAGAUAAAUCCAAGCAAUGCCUUGGAACAAUGCAGUAAUGGAGAUACAGACGAUGAACAAUAUGUUCAGCAUGAAGCUUUCGCAGGUGAAGUUACUUGAGUAAACUUUUUAUUUUUAUGAAAUACAUUUUAUCCAUCUCGGCUUCGAUAAAGCUAUGAACAGCCAAUUAAGUACUAUUUGUAUUUUAGUAUGAAUCCAUUUUCUGCUGAUGUUUAAAUGUGUUAAGAAAAUGUUACAAAA